UAGUAGUAGUUUAUUAUUCAAUCACCUA
rnacentral:sRNA from 1 species